rnacentral:rRNA from 1 species
GGAUGCCUUGGCACUAAGAGCCGAAGAAAGACGUGAUAAGCUGCGAAAAGCUGCGGGGAGAUGCAAAUAAUCCUUGAUCCGCAGAUGUCUGAAUGGGGAAACCCGGUACGAAGAACUCGUAUCAUCCAUACGCCAAUCCAUAACGUAUGGAGGGGAACCCGGUGAACUGAAACAUCUAAGUAGCCGGAGGAAGAGAAAGAAACAUCGAUUUUGUUAGUAGCGGCGAGCGAAAGCGAAAGAGGCCAAACCGGAGUGCGUGCACUCCGGGGUUCGGACCGCAUUUAAGAUUCAGUGAUUCUAGCAGAAAGGUUUGGGAAAGCCUGCCGGAGAGGGUGAAAGCCCCGUAAGCGAAAGGAGAGCUGACUGAGCGGAAUCCAGAGUACAUCGAGACACGAGAAACCUUGAUGGAAUGAGCGGGGACCACCCCGUAAGCCUAAAUACUACUUAGUGACCGAUAGCGCAUAGUACUGUGAAGGAAAGGUGAAAAGGACCCCGGGAGGGGAGUGAAAGAGAACCUGAAACCCUGUGUUUACAAGCUGUGGAAGUUCUUUAAAUGAACAACCGCGUACUUUUUGUAGAACGGUCCGGCGAGUUGCGGAUACUGGCAAGGUUAAGCACUUAAGGUGCGGAGCCGAAGGGAUACCAAGUCUUAACAGGGCGUUAAGUCAGUGUACGCAGACCCGAAACCGGGUGAUCUAUCCAUGUCCAGGUUGAAGUUGUCGUAAAAGACAAUGGAGGACCGAAGCCACA